CUUUGACACAUAGCCCUCCUUUCCCCGGACCAUGCCCAUGAUGAUGCCCUUUGAAGAGAGGUUUCCCCCAAGAAAGAGCAGCUGAGUCCUUGCAUCUUGUGGCAGCUGGUGUGCCCAGCACUGAGUCUGUAGGAGCUGAAGCCAGCCCGGACCCUUCUCAUGGGCAGUGCCCACCUGUGCUGAAGUCCUGCAGCGGUGGCGGUGUGAGGUGAGUAAUGGAGUCCAGGGCAGGGAGUUAGGGAUCUCCAAAUCCAGGCAAAUGCUGCUUUU
rnacentral:lncRNA from 1 species